ACAGAACUCCGGCGACUUUAUAUGGUUAUAACACAGAUGUAAUCAGUCAUUGGGAGCCUUUAACUCCAAGAAGUACAUUCCAUCGAAAAACAGUCAUUCAUUCAUCAUCCAAACAGGACAGGAGUCAUUCUGAGACAGGACACUGAGACAACACUACCAGAGCUCACUGAGCAGCACAGGAUCAGACUGAAAGAAGAGGAACUCGGUGGACUGGUCCACAUGGCAGAGUCAGAGACGUGUGCUGCAGCAGGACUCAACACUCUGGAGCCAGUGUGUGUUACAUUACACAGAGGGGUCAGUGAUGUACACCAUACACGCACAUCACUGAUUAAAACGGAAACUGAUCUGAGCUUCACCCACCCUGGGGAUCUUAUUAAGACAGAGACACUAGACAGUGCAGAGCUGGGAUAUGUAACCCAUCUGCAUCCUGACCAAAUCAAAACCGAGACUGGUAAUGGAGGAUACCUUAAGGCAGAACACAUCAGUGACUUGAAUAUGAAAUGUGUCCAUUUGAAAUCUGAUAAAAUGAAGUGUGAAUCCAGUGAAAGUUUAGUGAGUGAUCUCAUGAAUGCUAUGAUGAAUGGAGCUGCAGGUGAUCGCAAAGCCAAGACAGAACCAUCGCAAUGUGCAGGAGAGCCAAAUCCAAACUGUAAGAAGGAAGAAAUGCACGAUCCGCUGACCCAGUGUGGAGACUUAAAUCACCUCUGUCACUUAAACGGUGAGAAUAGUCAGACCAGAAUUGUGCAGAAAGGUAGAAAUGGCUGCAACAAGCAUUUUAAUUGCCAGGGAACGAAUGAGAGAACUGAACCCAUAACCAAUUCAAGUAAAACCCCAAGCCUUUUGAA